UUUUUUUUUUUUUUUUUUUUGUAGAAAUAUCAAUAAUCAAGUAAACAAAUUUAUUAAAUCCAACAGCAGGUAACCGUCCAAAUAAAAAACAUUAAAGGAAAAAAUGUAGACAUCAAAGACAAAAAUGUGUGUAACAAGUCAAUAAAAAUACUCAAGGGGCCAUUUGGAGAGUGCAACAGUGCAGAGAAUACAAACAAAAGUAUUAACUUUUGUCAAGUUUGUACAACCUCGACAAACAGACACACUGGUCACAAACCAAGAGGGAUCCACAAAGGUGGAGGGUCACAUGAGCAGUGGACUCAUCACCUCAGCGGCUUAAGGCAGGGUAUAUCUGCGGGACCAAUUCAUCCAAGCCCCAUUUGCCUAUUGCUUCACAUUCCCCCUUUAAAACCUAGAGUCAUAUUCAUUAGUGCAACAGGUAAGAGCAGUUAAUCACAGACGGAGCUGGGGACCAGGGUCAGAGGGAAGACACUUCUCCCAGAGCAAAUGUAUGCGUGUCGGGGGAAUGAAAAACCCCAGCAGCUGCUGAAUGGCUUCCUUUGGCAAUAUCCAAGAUUUGUGUUGAAAGGAGCAGGGAAGUCGGAUGGGUGGCAGAAGUAGGUAUCUAUGAGAUAGGCUGGGUUUCCAAGAAGAGAAGAAUAGGGAGGACAUGAUGCCCAGCACCUGAAUCAGAAGCAGAACCCAAUGGUUAUGCAAAGCUAUUUGAACUAUUUUGGCUUCUGCAACCAGUGCUCAAGAAUCUAUUUCGUCUUUCGAAAAGGGUGAAAACCCCUGCUGAUCUUCACCAACAUGCAGUCCCAGUCCAGUUUAAACUGGAUACGCAAUUACAGCUUAUCAUAGGAAUAAACUCUGAAGGGGGGUGGAUGGGAACCUUUAUAUGAUCUGAAAACACACUGUGGAGUAAGAGGAGGAUCAAUGUCGCAUUUCAUCAGUGAGUCCCAAUUAACACAAUUCAACAACCUUCAUAGUUCUUUCAGUCAUUUAAACAAGAUACUGCUGGAGUCCUCCUCCAAGGAAGACCCAUCAUUUACCAAGAUGUUCAAGUCCCCUAAGGAAGACCUUUGUCAGUUACCAAGAUGCUCAAGUCAUAGCUAACCAAACAUGAGAGACAAGAAAAAUAGCAAAGCAGUCAAGUAAAAGGCAACAAAAACCUAGCAGCAGCUUUCUUCCAUGCCUUAACCUUAUAAUUGCAUAACUGAGUCUACCUUUUGGGCUUCACUGCACUGAAGACCUCAUUUGGAAUCUGGCAAACCAAACACUCCUAAAUAUAUAGGUUGGUGUAAAAGUAAUUGUGGUUUUUGCCAUACUUAAUGGCAAAAACAUACAUAAAGUAUGGCAAAAACUUACUUUUGCACCGACCUAACAGAUCUGUUUUGGUUUGUAAACUUUUAGACAAGUUCUUAUCCCAGUAACUUCCCACCACCGUUCAAUACAAUUUGGCAUAGUAUGUAGCACAUGAGGCCAUCAAGUGUACUAUGGGGUCCCACACCCUGCAGCCUCCAGCAUUCGGCACCAGCCCCUGGAGACCAGUACUGCUUCAAAGACUAAUACUGUGUGGCUUAAUCCUUUCUCCCUUUCCAAAAACACUAGUUUCUGCCUUCCUUGGGGAAGUUUAAUACUGAAAACACUGCCUUGUAUGUUUUCAAUUGUUAUUUUCCUGGGCCCAGGGGUUUGGUUAAAAAUUUAGAUCUUUACCCAGCUCUAGAUUCAUCUUCCCUUAUCAGAGGGGCAGACAUGGGUUCCUGGACCCAACUCACACAGGUAGGCAGCACUUCAGCUGCUGAGACGACGAGCUGAAGCAUAGCAAAGCCGCUUACAGGAGGUAGGGUUAAGAAUGAUACACUGAGAUUUGGCAAAGAUGGGGGAAAGAGCAAUUCAAUGAAGCAGCACGUCAUCUCACACCAUCUUUCUAAUAAAUUGCUAAAGAAACAUCACAAAAGCUUACAAAGCCAUUUGUCAAAACCGAGUUGUUUCUUAUUUCCCAACACACAGUUUGUUGUCGUCCUCAGAUGUUGCCAAUUUCCAAAGUGGCAUCCACAUCCUGCCCCUCUCCACAUCACCCUGAUGUUCUAUUGCUAAGCAAGGAGUGUACUGGCUUACCUGAGGGGCACACAUUCAGCCUCUUACACAGACUUACCACUCAUUAAGUGGUAAACCUAUUUCUAGGUUGAAGGGAACAAGGCUUUUCAUUUCCCAGAAGUAUAACUUCAAACCCUACACACACCUCACCUUGGAUCCCUUUGCAGAAAAACUGCAUUUCUUGUGGUCAUGAAAGAGUCAAGCAUUGGCCCAGAGCGACUGCAGAAGCUUGAAAUCUUUGCUGGACAUCAAAUACUCAAACUUGGAAGGAACUUGUAAGUUCCUCCCUGACUGCUCCCUUUUCUGGCUUCUCAUUUGCAAAUGGAUCAAUAUAACCAAAAAAUAACUAAAUGGCUUUUUUGGUGGGGGAUGAGGAGGCUAAAUAGUUAAUUUAAAAAACAACAAAAUCCACCCACUCUAGUACGCGUAAUGCACGGAAUGUCUUCUUAAAGGGUGGGGAAGGAACCUAGUUUCUCUACUCAGGGUCCUGGGCUGCCUCCCUCUUUUGCGCACCUCUCUCUGAUACACCCUGAUCUGGGAUGGAAAGGGCCUUACCUGGCCAAGUGCAGCCUGCCUUUUCCCUCAGUCAACCACUACCCAAUCCAGAACCGAGGAAAAUGAGUUGCAAACUGCUUAAUGAAACAGCAGUCUUUUUAAAACCUCAGUCUGGGUACCCAGCUACAGCUGAUCCCACAGAACCUGCUGGAAACCCUGGAGACUUACUCCAGAGCCUUAUUUAGCUAGAACAGAAGCCAGGCAUCUGGCCCAAGAUCCCCUCCAGCUUUCUAGCAGUACUAUAUCGUGAAUGAUCUUAAAAUUUCCCAUUUGCCCCUCUGAAGGAGGAACUGUCAGGUUUAGGAUUUAAAAAAAAAAAAAAAAAAAAAAAUUCCAAGUAUGUUCCUUAUAGUCAAUAUCAAUUUUAGAAAAAUACUGACUGCCAAAACUAUUUAAUAACCCUUAAGGUGGGAGCCCAGAGCUAUAAGGCUGCUCACAAUGGAACUCAAAACAUGCAAUUCCUGCCCAGGCUGAGAAACAUACCUGGGACACAGCGGGGUAUUAGGUUAGGGGAAAAACCUCCAAAUGUUUAAUAGACAAAGUUUCAUUACCUCAAGAGUAUAAAUAUUUUUCUAAGUUUUUAUUUAAAAGAUUCCCUUUUUAAUCUGUUCCAAAGUGUUGGUAGCUGAACUAUACAAGUUCCUGCCACCCAUCCUUCCAGUACAGUUUUCUGAGGACAUACUUUUUAAAUGGAAAAAUAACAGGAGGACCCUCUAACUGAAACCAGGUAGGACCAGAGUCAGUUCCUCAGGCCCCUGCGGCAGUCUGGCCAAAGCUGGCCUUAUGAAGCGAGCGCUUGGAGAAGUCUGGGGAACCAGGCCCUCCCUCUUGUGAGGAAAGGGCUGAGCAAAACUCAUGUUCUCUUUAGUGAAAAUGGUCCAAAUUCAGAUCCAAAAGCCUCCAUUAUGGCUUUCCCUGGCACUCUUCUUAUACUUUAUACAUUGAAGGCAGCUCCCUCUUUUAUGGCCAGUAUAAGCAGGCAAAGAAACAAAGGAAUAUAGAUACAUAUAUGUGUAUAUAUAUAUAUUUUAUAUAGGUAAAAUAUAUACAUAUUUUAUAUAUGUAUAUAUACAUAUUUGGGGGUAGGGAAAGGAGAGGAGGGUCAUGUAAACCUAAACAGUCAUCACAUUACCCCAAAUGAGCCUGACUUUAACAAAAAGAUAAUAAAUAACUCCUGGGGGUUAAGUGACAACAUGGGUGCAGCAAGAAGGGAAAGGGCACAAAUUUAACUAUUAAAUACACUUUGAUAUUUGUUUGGCAGAGUUCAGGCCAACCCCAGGCUUCUGCCCUUGCCAGACAAGUAAGCUGAUGAUAUUCAAAGAAAAAAAUAAAAAUAUUUAAAAAAAAAAUUCAAGCAGAGCUCCAUACCACAGUUUUCCUUCAAGUCAGUUGGCCGGCAGGCAGUUUCCCGACCACCAGGAACAGAAACUUUGGCUCCAAGGUAAAUGAAACAAACAAACAAAAAAAAGUAUUUCCACUUACAACAUGAAAAUACAGAAACUUCAUCAAAGAAAGAAAACUAUCAAAGAAGUCUACUUCCAGCAAAACUGAGGUAGCACUGCUUUCUCUGCAUUCAAUGCUUAAGUGGUUCUCAGUACAACACAUGUUCUUACAAAAUGCUCACUUGACUGACAGGUGCAGCAUGUUGAUGGAAAAACUCAACAUGAAAUGCAAUAGGUCAAAGAAGGAAUGAGCAAGAAGUGAGGGAGAUCAGGGUUCUGGAUAAAUUAGCUUAAAAGGGGGUUGUUACCAGACUACACAUGCUCUUGGCUGGCCUUGGCUCUCCAAGAGUCUAAAUCGCCUGGGAAUUAAUGCAAUGUGGUUAACAGUUAACACUGCUAUUCAAAUCUGUGUAAAUCUUUAAAAAUAAUUAUUACAACCUAAAUUCAACCAUGUAAACAGCACUACACACAGUACAGACCUGCCCUGAAAAACAAUAUGCAAAACUGAGAUCUGGCACUGCAUCAUUUUGUCAUGUUAAUUCAACCUAACAGUCCCAUCCCCUCCCUGCUCUAUGCCCUCCCCUACCGAAAAAAAAAAAAAAAAAAAAAAAAAAAAAAAAAAA
ensembl:lncRNA